AGAGUAUCUUGAGUGCGGGUAAGGUUCUAGCCUGAUGAUCCGCCGGCAACCCCGAUAAAUUCCUUUCGGAUGGUGCCAAAUCUAGCUUACAAGAGAAAGAUACAAG
rfam:Microgenomates (Woesebacteria) bacterium GW2011_GWC1_38_13 TS75_C0001, whole genome shotgun sequence.